UACGGAGGUGGCAAGCGUUGUUCGGAAUUACUGGGCGUAAAGGGCGCGUAGGCGGCUAGGCAAGUCAGAUGUGAAAGCCCCGGGCUUAACUCGGGAAUUGCAUCUGAAACUGCUGGGCUUGAGUUCUGGAGGGGGUAGUGGAAUUCCCAGUGUAGCGGUGGAAUGCGCAGAUAUCAGGAGGAACACCGGUGGCGAAGGCGGGUCUCUGGGCAGUAACUGACGCUGAGGAGCGAAAGCGUGGGGAGCGAACAGG
rnacentral:rRNA from 1 species